rnacentral:rRNA from 1 species
ACACUCCUGCGGGAGGCAGCAGUGGGGAAUAUUGCACAAUGGGCGCAAGCCUGAUGCAGCCAUGCCGCGUGUAUGAAGAAGGCCUUCGGGUUGUAAAGUACUUUCAGCGGGGAGGAAGGCAAUACGGUUAAUAACCGUGUUGAUUGACGUUACCCGCAGAAGAAGCACCGGCUAACUCCGUGCCAGCAGCCGCGGUAAUACGGAGGGUGCAAGCGUUAAUCGGAAUUACUGGGCGUAAAGCGCACGCAGGCGGUCUGUCAAGUCGGAUGUGAAAUCCCCGGGCUCAACCUGGGAACUGCAUUCGAAACUGGCAGGCUUGAGUCUUGUAGAGGGGGGUAGAAUUCCAGGUGUAGCGGUGAAAUGCGUAGAGAUCUGGAGGAAUACCGGUGGCGAAGGCGGCCCCCUGGACAAAGACUGACGCUCAGGUGCGAAAGCGUGGGGAGCAAACAGGAUUAGAUACCCGGGUAGUCCCA